ensembl:lncRNA
GUAAGAAGGCUGAACGCCGAAGAAUUGAUGCUUUUGAACUGUGGUUUUGGAGAAGACUCUUGAGAGUCCCUUGGACUGCAAGGAGAUCCAACCGGUCCAUUCUAAAGGAGAUCAGUCCUGGGUGUUCUUUGGAAGAAAUGAUGCUAAAGCUGAAACUCCAAUACUUUGGCCACCUGAUGCGAAGAACUGACUCUCUGGAAAAGACCCUGAAGCUAGGAAAGUUUGAAGACUGGAGGAGAAGGGGACGACAGAGGAUGAGAUGGUUGGAUGGCAUCACUGACUCGAUGGACAUGGGUUUGAGCAAACUCGGGGAGUUGGUGAUGGACAGGGAGGCCUGGCAUGCUGCAGUCCACUGGGUCACAAAGUCAGACAUGACUGAGUGACUGAACUGAUUGACUGACCAACACCCACAGGUUGUUCCACUUCAGCAUCUGCCCUGUCCAUAACUUCCUCACCUGUUUUCCCUGCUAUAGUCAGGUCCUUACUCGCCCAGCAGGAUUCUUGAGAUAGUCUAAGGGCACCCUCAGCCUGGGGUCUCAUUCCUCACUUCCAAUCCCCCCCCAACACUACUACUGUCACAGUAAAACCAUGACAAGGUUAAAAUAUGCCUGUCAUAUGCAUGUAUAAGAAACACGUGACAAAGAUUAAUUUAACUCCUUAAUGAAGAAACUAGCAGAAUAGUAAAUCCAGUUCAAAGGAAAGUUCAAGAAGCUAUAGUGGAUGAUAAAAGGUAUGCUGGAAAGAUUGCAGACUUAGAGACAAGAGAGAUAAAAUAAAAUUAACCUUAGCUCUUUCACACUGUUACAUUCCUUGCCAGUGGCUUCAUUCCCAGGUCUCCUACUCUGACGCCUCAGGCAGGCCAGGCCCUCUUCAGGCACUUCAGGCACUCCAGGCCUCCUUGCGGCUAGGGGGAGGGGAAGGCAAGUUCAAGUCCUCAGGAUCCAGGUCUUUCCACAGUUCACCCCUCCGCAACCCCAGAGUUCAUCAAACUGCCGGAGAGUUUUGUUCGGUGCUCCCUCAACAGUGAUGAUACUGAGUUCAAGCUCCCCGAGUGACGGGCCACUAAAUCUGAGAGAUGAGGUGCUGAGGCAAGGAAUACGACUAUUUGGAAAGCUGACCAAGAAGAUUUUGAGAUUAAUGUCUCAAAAUAACCAUCUUGUCAGGAUCUGGAGGCCAGGUUCUCUUAUAAAACCAGAGAGAGAAGAGGUGAGGAAUUAAAAAUAAAAAAGCAGGACAGACAGGGAGAGGCAGUGAGGACGUGGAGGAAAAAGAGGCGCGUCUCGCAAAACAUCUCUGGGAUGGCCAGCCUGUGGAAGGGAUGUGUUAAUCUCUUCUUUCUUGCAACAUUUUACAGGUGGGCAGGGUCAGAUAAUCUCUCUGUGAGUUGAGUGAAGGCACUUUAACAGUCCGGCAGACAGGCAGGGUUCUCUGAGGUGGGCCAUUAUGUGUGAUUCUAAGAGCAAAGGCAAUGAAAAUCAAGUCAAAGAAACAGUUCCCACCUGGAGUCAGAACCGACUCUUCCCUGCAACUGUUAUGACCCCAUGUCUGUGCUGAUCCACAUGAACUUCGGGAAAAUGCAAUGGCGCAGCCCCUGCUUCCUGGAUUGUGGCUUCUUAUUUACAUCACCACAGCAAGUGAUUACAGGCUUACCUCUUCCAUUUAGGGCUGUGCUUUUUCUGGCUGCCCUUGACACCUGGCCGCUCUCAGGCUCCUGGCUCAGCCAGGCUCUGGACAGGGCUGUGUAUUUAUUGGAUGGGAGACCUGGAUGAGAGACCAUCUGCAUGUUUGUGAGGCAAAAAGAUGAUUUCAGAGAGGCAGCCUUAGUGGUGGUGUGAAGCAAGAUCUUGAUUUCCUGCCCAGGAAAUGAACCUGGGUAGCCUUGAUGAAUCCUAUUCACCAGACCAGCAAGGGCUAGGGGCUAGAAGCUAAUUUUCCUUGGAUCUUGCCCCCAGUGAAACCUGCAUUUCUCAAUGGAGGCAAGGACUGUAAAUGCAAGUACAAAGUUUAUUAUUAGAUAUAGAAAGCAACAAGUGGGACUGAAGGAGGAAACAGAAAGAGCUGGACUCCAUCUUAGGCCAGGUUGCGAACAUUAGGCUACACGCAUGGUCACCCUCCCAGUGGACUCUGAACUUUGUGUCCAGUGUCUAUAGAGAUAGCAUACCAAUGGAAAACCAGACCCCCAGAUAAAAUAGCCUCAGGACUUGCACUUGGACUCUCCGUUGUCUAAAAGAAUAUGCUAAUUAUCUCUGUAACAGAACAAAGUGGUAAAUUCCAUUAUGUUUAUCAGGAUAUGACCACAGGCCUAUUGAUAAAUAUCCACUGUUUAUCUAGUCAUGUAACACAUGAAUCAUGGGUUAACUUUGAUCGUAUCUCUCUUUUACCUUGUCCAGACUAGUUUCAAGGAAUUUGGGGAGGUGGGUUUGAGUAAGGACACUUAGGGUAUAUAAGGUUUUCACAAAAACUGGUCGGGGUCCUUGGCUAAGAGGAGACUCUGCCUUGAGCCCUCCAGCGUAAUAAACACUCCACUAUCUGCAUUGUCCUUCUGAGUGAGUUUGUUUCCCAGAACUCAUGGCUACAACAUUUGGUGCAUGGGCCGGGAAACUCCUCACUUUGAAGAAAUAAGUCCCAUUUGGGGCUACUCCGAGGCCUUGCAGCUUGAAUCUUCUAGAGUGGGGAAGGUGCCUUGCCUUUCUGGAAGGAUUCUGCUUCUCAACGCCCAGACCUUUCAUGUUAGCAGGUAAUGGAUGAUAGCAGGGGACCUGAGGGCUCAGGUGAGGAGGAACCCACCCAGCAGGGUGGAAGAGGGGCCCUGAUCACCCUCUGGGAGGGACUAGAAGGGGCACGGACCCACAGGAGCCUGGAAUAGGCAGGCAGCAAUUGCUUGGUACACAGGUUGAUGAGCGUGCUAGGGCUUAGGAAGGGAAUUUGCCAAGGUCAUUUAGGAGGUGUGUCCACGCCAUCUCAGGGAAAAUUAUAACCAGCGAUCACCAGGGGAUUUUUAGGAUAGGAAACUGGUCCUUGUAUGCUCAUAUUCUGCCCUCCCCCAGGAGGUGUUCCAUCUGCUGUUAAAUUCUUGACAGCCUCGGAAUUAUCAGGCUAGAAGGAGGGGGAUACAUAAAUGAGUAUGAAUUGGCUUUUCCGGAGACGGCCUGGGACAUGGGAUAUUUAACCCAUCUGUGUUUUCAUCCGCACCUGAUCAAGCCCACCAAGACAGAACAGACUUUAAGGGAGAAACAGUGUUGGACCACGUGGUGUUCUGGUUUGGCCUUGCUGACCGGCAGGUGAAGACACACGGAUCCCCCUUCGUCCUCUGGGAUCUGGCAGGAUUUGGACGAGGAUGACCUGCCCCUCCCCCAUACCGGAUGAUGACGCACCCUCCGGCCCAGUGCUCCACCAGGACCAGAGGCUGCCUUAAUGCCCAAUCCAGGGCCAGGUGAAGUUCCUGCAGCAGCCAUUCCUCCUCCACCAGCUCUCCUGGAGGUCUUAGAGCCGCCACCUCAGCAGGCUCCAAUCCUGGUGGCAGAAGCCUCUGGCCAGCACUUCCAGGAUCUGGCUCCAGCCGAACCGCCCAAGCUAUACCCACCUCUCCCGAUCUCAAGGACGUCUUCUUCUGCAUACACCUUGUCCCAGCAUCACAGCCCAUCUUUGCCUUUGAAUGGGAAGAUCCAGUCGGGGGCAUCAAACAACAGCUCACCUGGACUCCCCCACAAGGGUUUAAGAAUUCCCCAACCAUCUUUGGGGAAGCCUUGGCUUCUGACCUGGACUCAUUCCACCCGGAAAAGUACAGAUGUUGGCUCCUACAAUACAUGGAUGACCUGCUGCUGGUUGCCGAGACCAGGGAAAAAUGCUGGAAAGGGACAAAAGCACUGCUCCAGCUGCUGAUGGAAGCAGGUUACUGGGUGUCGAAGAAGAAGGCACAGAUCUGCAAAGAGUUAAAGUUACAGGUAUUGCCCCUUGGAUCCAUCAUACGAGGAUGAAGAGAGCAUACCACGCAGACCCAGAAAACGCUGAGUGGACUGCACAGAGGGACCCCGCUGACCCUCGAGAGACUAAGACCAUCCUUAAGAAGAAGGAAAAGAAGAUCCCGGAGCCCCUUGAGGAUGAAGCCACAUAAACAACUCCUGCUGCUUGGUCUCAUCAACAUGCACAUUCCUACGCCAACUUCCACAAUUCCUCCAACUGUUGGAACCACCAUCAACACACAGACCAGAGUGUGAACUUCUUGAGCAAAAGAGACACCCCUUUUGAUUGGAGAGUUGAGGAAGCUUCCUGGAAGAGGUGUCUUGUCAGCUGACCCUGAAUUGUUGGAUUGGGGCACUGAAUAAAAGUACAAAGUCCCAUCUGUGCUUCCUUUCACAGCUUAAAUUAUUCCACUUAAGCUCUUCAUCCAAAUGCUAUCCCAGUACGCCUUUUGAAACUUCCUUUUUAUUACAAAUAAAUUGCUAAAUAAAGCUUGCAGCAUAAAAAUUAAAAUAAUAAUAAUAAUAGAACUCCCUGCUUGAGAUCCGGCUGUGGCCUCAGUCAGUGAAAUGGUCAAAAGUCCGUCAGGUUCCUCUCAGGCUCCAUUCAACUCUGGGGGACAAAGAACAAACCACCGCAAGUUCACCAAGGUGGUGC